GAGGGUAUAGCUCAGUGGUAGAGUGCGUGCAUGCAUGAGGCCCUGGGUUCAAUCCCCAGUACCUCCA
rnacentral:tRNA from 1 species